GUUUCUUGGUGAGGGCAUCGAGCCGAUCGUUCAGGACUGGUACAACGCCCGGCAGAUUGUUGGUGCCCGGUUGCCCCACCAAUGCCAGAUCCUUCGGAUGCCGUCCCAGACGGCGUGCUUUGCGCAACCGAUCGGAAAGACUGUCCCAGUCCGAGAGCAACCCACCACCGGUGUCACCGCCGCGGCCACCAUCACCACCAACACCACCGUCCUUGUCCAUUUGUGUUUGCUCUGCUGCGUACCGCAUCUCGUGUCCGAUCACUUCACCGUUCGGGCCGAUCAGAUCCACAUGCUGUUCGUCGCGCUGCUUGAAGUAUCGCUGGGCGGAAGACUACACACAUAUUGACACAAAGACAUGCUGGUGAGUUUCGGGCGUGCAAAAGGAAGGUAGUAAGACAAAAUAUGGCUACUACUUACCUUCUGGUCGAUUACACGCUCGCCACUGUCGACCUGAUCGUAGCCCGGCAGCAACCGCUGCUCGUCCGUCUCCGGCAGUUCGUCGUCGUACAGCUCCUCGUGCUGGCGCGUCUGUUCCUUCUCCGUCACUAGCGUACCGUCCGGUUUGGCAAGCUGCCGAAUGUCGGUGUCCUCACUGUCGAUGACCUUCCGUGAGCUGAUCGAUUGCUGUACCAGCUGGGGCCCGGUUGGCGUUUGCUCGGUACGCGCCUUCUCCGACAGCAGCAGUUCCCGUAUAUCGUCCACACCGCUGUUGAUCGCUCUCAGGUACGCCUGAAUGUAGGCAGCAGUUGGCCCACGGAUGGAUGGGAAAGAAAAUUGUUUUCUUUACUUUACGGUUGGUGUUCAUUGGGCGCGACAGUUACCACUUUGUUUCCUGCCCACCAUACGCCCAGCCAAGCCAUAUUUGUUCGCGACGUAAGAAUGAAUGAAGAAUGUGCGUUACGCAUACAUUCUUCGAUCCACGCACUUACACAACGCCACUACUAAAAUGGAGUUCCCGCCCCGGAUGUUGGAACCUGGAUGUGAACGGAAUUGGAGUACCUGCGAGCAACAAAAAAAAAAAAAGCGCUGCUGUAG